UUGGUGUGUGACAAUAAAAUGUUCACUUUGUUUUAGACGAUAACCAGAUGCUCCGCAGGGCGUAGCUUUAUACGACCACAGAGGUUGAACCGUGAACGGUUGGGGCAAGUAUGAACACAACAUUCAAGCUGGAUUCAGCUCUAAAUUUGGAUUGUGAUUAAAUAGUUGACACAGCAUAGGUUUCUGACACAGAAUGAAUGUGUUCUAAUGAACUUAAAAUUUUUGUUUUCUCUUAGAGCAAUUCACUAUGCUGUUGAAUAUUAAUCCUCUCAAAAAAAUGUUUGAAGAAAUUUUCUUUUUAUUUAUGAAAUUUUAAAUGAGAAAAAUUGAACCCAAUUUUUUUUAAUCACAUCCCCCUUUCCCUUAUUCCAAAAAUAAUCUCAAUUAAAAUUUCUAAUGGAGUUUGCAACAAUAACUACUCAUUUAAAUACAUCAUAAAAUAUUAAGAUGUAAAAAAAAACUGCUUGUUAUCACUGAAUGGUAAAGAUUAUUUUAAUUUAUCAGUUGGUGGUAAAAAGUGAAUAUACAUUGUAUAUUGU
rnacentral:lncRNA from 1 species